CCCGACCGCGUACGAGAGUCCGGACUUCCGGGAUUAGCAAUUUCACGUUAUCAUCGUUCGCGUUCGGGUCCCGCGGUGAUAGCGUUUGCGGUUGUACGCGGUCGCGAAGUCACGGUCCGAAGCUUAACAAUAUUAAAAUUGCUAUAUAAAAUUGCUGUAAUGUUAUUGUACAGCGCUGAAGUGCGCCGCCAAUCGAUGAUAUCGUCCGCGACGACGGCGAAAUAAGUGAGUAUUUAACAAUAAUAUUGCGAUGACAAUAAUAUCGUUAUUAUGUUAUCGGCCGGAAAAAUAUAGGUAAUAUUAUACCGAUCGUCGUUACACCGUAGUAGUUACACUGCACCGUCGGUUGUUACAGACGGAUUCGCCGCCGUGUGUACCGCGCGAGUAUCCGGUGUAAACAAGUACAAUAAGUCACCCCGCCCCGGUCGCCGCGGCCAAUACAAUCGCCCUUUGUUCGGAAGAUUUACACCGCGGUACCUUCACGUACGAAAACAGCCGGGGCACAGUCACGACGAUAUUCCUCCCCCUCUCUUCACCUAUCCUACUCUUCCCCCGCCCCCUUCACCUAUUCCCCUCUCCCCCCCCCCGGCUAUGAAUUAUCAUAGCCGGGUGACGCGAUCGCGCGCACAAAUCGUAAAACAAUAAAAAUUCAAAUUAUUAUCCGUCGGUACGUAUUAUUACGUGUAUUACCUAUACACGAUGUUAUUACAGUGCCUAUUAUUGUAUCCACGUAGCGUCGAAAUUUUCUCGUAAUACAAUCGAGAACUGUUACACCGUGUAUGGGUACAGUAUGGCGAUUUCCAAAAAAAACAAAAAACCGCGUUUUAUCGUCCGUAUAUUAUAGUCGUGCGUUCGUUAUUUUCACUGUGCAGGAUCAACGGCGACGUUAUCGCAUUUUUAUAACUUUUUUUUUUCCCCGGUAAAACUUUGUACUGUUAUAACUAUGUCGAAAGCGAAUAAAGAAACACUUUCCUCGAGUAUCUGUUUUUUCGACAACGGAUAUUGCGCGCAGGAAAUAAACGAGGCUGGUAGAACAUAGGUGCUCUAUAUGCUAUAUUGAUUUUUGUUUCUUUCACUCGUGUGUUUCAACUGUAACUAUAUAAUAAUAUUGUUACCGUUACGAACACCGACCGUUCAUAUUGUACAAUCGAGGGGAGGGGAUGUGAAUGAAAACAAUUUCAUUAAUGCUUUAGAUCCGCUUCAAUAAUAAUAAUAAUAAUUAUAAUCAAUUAGAUUUUUCGAAUAUAGUAUUUUCCGAAUACUCGUUGAGAAUAGUCGAAAAACCUAUUUUAGACACGUGCGCGAAGUGGAUGUAUUAUUGUUGUGUUUUAGUGGCUAUACAUUUUUUUUUUUUUUCAUGUGAGUUAAUAUAGCGUUUAAGUACGUGGUUUCGUGUACCGGAUACGUCAAUUAUUAUUGAGCGCGGGAACGUAAUGGAUUUUAAAACUAUUAUUAUUAUCACGGUCGGAACGGUUUUAAGUGAAAUUAUUUUUCGGAAUAUGUUUACAAUAUUUUUAUAUAAAGUGUAACUUUGAGAUGCCGGUUUUUAUAUUAUUCCAAAGUGCCUACCCGUCUGUGUAUUUUCAGACCCUACCCGAAUUCGGCCCGAAUGUUAGUUACACGCAGAUUACGUGACUCUCCGCGUGGUUUUCGAUCGAUUAUGACCGAGAUUUUAAGUUUACACGUCUUGUAAUUCGCUGACAUUCUUGGAGCUGCAAUGUUUGGACCGAUAAUUAGGUUUUGUAUUGUAAAACUCACUGAAUCGAUUCGAUUGCGUUUUUACUCAGGUCGAACUCUGAUAGGGGUCUGUAAAUACGCUCCCUGGUUACGUGAAUAUAAAACGCAAUAUUAUUAUCGUGUGAAAUUUGACACCGUAUGUAGACAAUAUAAUAUAGGUACUUUAAAAAAGUAUAUAUAUACAUUUGCACUUAUAUGCUUGUAUAGCGGAGUGGACACUAAAUUAUUAUGUAAGACAGGCUCAUAGUCAGGAUUUUGUCAUUGGAGGGUAGGUGGUGGUGUGGGGGGGGGGGUGACAACAAUUUGUUUUAAAAAUAAUUUUAAACUUCUUUGAAUUAAUACGGGAGAGGGGAUUGUGAUUUUGCAAGUAUAAUUAUCAAUCUCCAAAUCGAUAUUUGUGAUACCCGCGUGUGUUGUCUCCGUCUUAAAAGCGUAUACGUCACAGGUAAUUUGCGUUCAGUAGAGAUAACUUUGGGACUGUUAGUUUGUAGUAUGAGAGUCGAUUGACCUAUUAUCAAAGUGAAAGAUAUGAAUAUUAUCUGUGCAUCGUUUGCGCUAUAUUUUCGAUACUUUAAUUUUGAGAAGAGAUAUGAGUAUGUAAAAUAUCAUUAAAUCUUUAAGUUUGAUGAUAGGUCAAUUUACAUUAAUAUUAAAACUAACAACACGACUUCGUUUUUUCUGAACGCAAAUUUACUACGUUGCAGUCAUACGAAAUUUCAUAAUCUGAAAUAAUAAUCUAAAUGGCAUUUCGGUAUGUUUAGAUGAGUAUGGCAUGAUUAAUACUUAGUAAAGGAUAUUAUUACAGGAUAAUGUACAGAUGCAUUUCCGUGCAUAGGUGUGAAUAGACUUCAUCCAAAGCUACAGCCUAGUUAAUAACCGGCACCACUUAAUGAACCGAAAAAACCUUUAAUUUAAAUAGGGGGAGAUUAGACUCCCCCCAAAUUAAAUAUUUAUAUAAUUUAAAAAAGUCUGUAUUAUCUAUUUAUUGCAAUUAAUAAUGUAAAAUAAUUUCAGUACCUUUAAAUUCAACUAUAGAAAUAUUAUUUACAUUGGUAUUGUAUAGGCCAGGUUUACAUCGCCAUGUAAUUAAGUAAUUUACAAAAUAUAUGAUGUGUGUAUGUAUAGAAUAACAAAAAUUAUAAACUUAUAGAGAAUAAUAUUUUGUUUUAAACAAUGCAUAAGAAAUUUUUUUUUAAUAAAAGUUGUAAGCCUAAGUUGACCGGCGCUUUUCAAAAAUUGCAGGGGCAGCCCAGUUGCCCUAAAUCUUAAAGAUAUCCCUAAACCCUUCGGCUACCACCGAAGAUCUACCUAUGUCUCACCUAUGUAUGUAAUUUAAUUAUAAUAAUUUGAUAUAUUAUAAUGUUUUAUAAUAUUUUAUUUUAUAUUUAUACCAUAUGUACGUAUAUACUCUUUUUAAAAUUUAUACCAAGAAUUAAAACAUUUUUAUCCAUAUCUUUUAAUUGCACAUUUGGUUAAAAGUAAAGAAAUAAAUAUCUACAUAUUUUUGCAUUUUAAAUACAUAUAAAUCCGUACCCUACUUAUCAUUUUAAUUCUAAUAAUUCCCACAAAAAUGCGGGAAAUGUUAUUAAAUCUUGUUACGUGUACCAGGUACCUAUAUAAAAGACUGAAUUUUCAGGUUAGAUGAUAUUUUGUCAAACCGUUUAAAAAAAAUGUUAUACAAACAUAAUGAGCCGAUUCUCACUGUUUAUUUUACUACACUUCAGGGAAAGUCCUAAAAAAGAAAAACUACUUUUAUUCCGCAGUCGUUAUAAUUUAUGCACUGGAAUAUUACAAUUUCAGAGGCGAUGUAUUUACGUAAAAACGAUCGAAUAUUCAAAUAGAUAAUUAACAUUAAAAACAAAUUUAACAUUAUAAAAAUGCAUUAUUUUAAAUCGAUGACGAUACGAUUUUCCGGUCUUUUCCAUGCAGCCGAAACUGUAAAAAAAAACCACCCCGAGGACAAUAUAAUCCGUUUGAAACGUCACGCGAUUUAAUAUUUCAUUAUAUAUCAUGACAUCUCGUGAAACUAUUUUAAAUAUCAUAGUCCGCCGGAGUACGCACAUAAGCAUUAGGUUACAAAUGUCAGGGGCGUACCAAGGCUUUUUUUUAUCAGAGGGUAGAUCAUUUUAUUUUAUUUGUUCCCUAAUAAUUAUUAAAUCCAUGACCAAUAGAUUGCUGUUAAUAACACUAAUAAUAGUCAUAAUAGUUAUACACAAGUAUCUCCAGCGUUCUCACACUUGUACACACUUUUCAGAAGGGUUUAUUACAUUUAUGGGAGAUCUCCCAUAAAUUAAUCCCCCUCCCCCCUGGGUAACAAAGAGUAAUAAUAAUUGAUUUUGGUCAGUGACAGAAAAAUAAAACAAAGAAUGAGUGUAGCAGAAAUGAGAAUGCAUACGAGUAGGUGGAUGAGUGGAGUGACGAAAGAAACUAUAAAAUACGGAAUGAGUAUAUUAGAGGAAGCUUAGGCGUGGUUUUGAUAGUAGAUAAGAUGAAAAAAAAAGUGAGAGAAAAUGACUGGGAUGCAGAUUUGGGUAUGCCAUGAGGAGAGAGGAAUCAAAAGCAGUGCGAAUUGUAAUGAAUAUAAACGUAGGAGGAAAAAGGAAGAGAGAAAGACCGAAAAAGAGGUGGUUGGGUGCGAUCUCGAAGGCACUCGCUUAAUUCUAUAUUAUUGUGCUACUAUGUAAUGAAGCCCCAAAGUAUUCUUCUUUUAGAAAAAAAUAAGAUAAUAUUUGAACUGCUUCCAAUUUCUGCGGGAGAAUUGAAUUAAAACGGGAAAAGUCCAUUCUUAUAUUAUCGUCUAUCAAGUUGCUUAAAGAAAAGCGUUCCUUUUCAUUAAAAUUACCAAAGCAUUUGAUAAUUAAAAUUAAUAAUUAAUUACAGGCUAUAAUUAAAUCAUAAUUAAAACCUUUUUUGAAUCUGAGCGUAGCGAAGAAUGUAUUGAUUUAUAUUAUAAUACAGCGGUUCUCAAACUUUGGUACGUGGUAGGAAACACAAUGGUACGCAGAAGGACGUGUGGCUUAACAGUUCGAAAAAAUAAAUUAAUCAAUAUUCAUACAAAUGUUUUUUAAUGGAUCUAAUACUAUAUUGAAGUAUUUUACUGUAUUAUCAUACAAACCGGGUAUUUUCUAAAUAGUCUGAUAACUGUUUUAAUAUUUCUUAAUUUUCUGUAUAAUAACAUUAUUGUUAAUGCGCCAUACGCAUAUAACGAUAUAGCAUUACUUUCAGCUGAAUACGUUAAAUUGUUUGUGAACAAAUGUGCUAUUCGAUAAAUUGUCGUUUGCGAGCAUUUGUUUUUCGAUCAACAGUUAAAAACAAAAAUAAAAUAAACGUAAUUGUUAAACCGAUACAUUCCUCGCUCCACUCAGAAUCUAAAAUAAUAAUAACAAUAUUUUUUAGUGUAUUUUUUUUUGAGAGCAUAUAUGCUCAAUAUAUUGACUGCUACGUAUUUUUUUUUUUUUUUUUUUUUUUUUUUCUGGACAGUUAAAAGUCCCUUUAUUCUAUAGUCAUAUUAUACACCAAAACUAAAACACCAAUCCCCAGUGCCACGGGACACAAUAUGUGAUCUCACGUCCUAAAAAUUCAAAAUCCCGUGGAAACUCUAUUUUUUCGAGUCACUGAAGUAAUUGUUAAGUUUCAAAAUCAAAUGCCCUAUGACUUUUGGAAAGUUCGCUCUAAAAACUCACGGCGGGGAAGAGAAUGUUGGCGAGAUCCCGAAUCGGGUUUCAUGGCAGCCAAGUUGUUUAAACGCAUUUUUUUUUUUUUUUCUGGACAGUUAAAAGUCCCUUUAUUCUAUAGUCAUAUUAUUUUGGUUCGGAGAGACAGCGUACCAUAUUGUGAACUGUUAUUAACGGUGUCUGAUUAAAAUCGAACGGUUCAGUCGUGUUACAUACGUGCGCACAGUCGCCCUAACAUCGGGACGGUUGCGUAACCCGCGGCGGUCGGUUCGGUGUGUACAGUGUCGUACGUCGCCGGCGGCGAUCGCCCCCGCACACACAUGUUUGACGUUAAAAUAUUUCUCGCUCUCUCUCUCUCUCUCUCUCUCUCUCUGUCUGUCUGUCUGUCUGUCUGUCUAUCUCUCUCUUUCUCUCUCUCUCUGUCUGUCUGUCUGUCUGUCUAUCUCUCUCUUUCUCUCUCUCUCUUUCAAUCGCACAGCAGACUCGAAUUUCCCCGGGCCCGUCCCGUUAAUCCGUUUAACGGCGUUACCGUUUUUACAUUACAAAACGGCCGGAUUUCAACGCGCUACCACAAUGUUAUACCCUAUAUAAUACGAUUGUCAUGCGAGGUCGGUGGCGUGCCCAGGAAUUUUCAACGGGAGUGGUCGUAGGGAAUUGUGAACCGUAAACUCGCCUUCUCCGUCUGUCCGUUGACGAGAUUUUUCACUUGUGAUUUUGGGUCGGGGAACAAUAGCGGUACAUCAGUUAUGUGGCGGCACGGCGUCUGUAUAACAUGGAUAAAGUUGCUGGUUGAUUCUUUUAUCGUAACAAAAAAAAAAAAAAAAUUGCGAAAAAAGUUUAUUCUUUUCGAGAUAUGGCAACGAGUAUUAUCUUCGUGAGACAUCCCGUGUAUCCUGUGUAUUAUUAUCAUUCCGUUUUUCAUCGAAAUAUAAUCAACAGACAAGAAGAACAAUGUUUCCUCGCAUGUAUAGGAAAAUCACAUUUACCCAGAACGGUAUAACAUACACGUCGUACUGUUAUGUACAUGUAUAUUGUAUAUCUAAUCGUAUAAUUAAUAUUUCGAGGUACUACUAUGGUAGUUAUGUACAACAAUGUACCGUAAAAAUUAUACAUUUUGUUUGACAAUAUUAUUAAAAAUAAUAACGAUCAGCUUGAAAGUCGAUCCGACAGCACCGUGGCGAUGUGAGUUUGUCUUCUGUUUAGUUUACUGUUCUACGCAGUGCAAUAUUAUUUGAAGUCUGAAAACGGAAUUACUGCACGUGCAAUGUUUAAAAGCAGUGCAGGUUCCCGGCCUCGUUGACACUACGGGCCACUCGGAGUUCUUUCGAUGGGUCGCGGACCCCUACGAUUUGCGCGGGUCGAUAAGCCCGUACAAGCCCGCAUUUUUUUUUUUUUUUUCUAAAAAAAGGUUACGCGCAAAAUAUUCCUAGAAUAUAACAUCAGUAUAAGAAAAAAAAAGCUCCAAGUCAGGCCGAACUUAUAACGCCGAGCCGAAUCGCGGGAUUUUAAACACGCAAAUUAAUGAUAUAUUAAUAUCGUGUACGUUAAAUACUUUAUUCAGUUUCGUGGGUGACGCCUCGCGGACCGCCGGUGAUCCGCUCGGACCGUACGUUGGGAACCACUAAUUUAAAGGGACGAUUUUUUUCAAAGACACAUUUUAAUUCAGCGAUCUCCCGGCCGCGUUCAAGGUGCACCGGAUUCGGUCGAACGUAAUAUCGAGUGGCCGGAAAAUGUCGACGGGUACAGAAUACGUAAUGUUAUACUAAUAUAGUGUAUUUUGCCCGAAAUAUUAUUCGGUCGAUAAACCGUCCGCGUGGGCGACGCUGUCGCCGCCGUCGUCCUGUCGAACUCGACUUGUCGAAUACUAUUUUGUUUUAUAUUACCGCACGAACGGUUAUUAUAAUGUUGACGCGUACGUUUCUUUUUGUUAAAACAACAGUCCGCGGACGUCGAAAUCUUCCGACCCGGCCGCGUUAACUUUCUCCGUAUACAUAAAUAUAUUAUAUAGACUCUGAAAAGAAUAGCGACCAGACCGAAACCUUAACGCACGUCCGCGCCUUCUUUUAAUUUACAAUCAUUUCCGCCGCAACAAAGCGCCGUUCGGUCGUUCGGACCGCAUUUAACCUAUAAGUUAACCUAUAAGCGAACGGUAACCCGGCGAACGAUGCCGUGCGCAGAGCGUAAAGUUACGAACAGGGCUCGUGAUUUGUAGCUUAAAAAAAAAAAAAAAGUUGUUAUGUGUGCAAUGAUACGCUCUUAAACACAUUCAUAUAAGCGCUUAUAUCUGCACUGAAAAGUGUUGAAAUAUGCACGAAAAUAAGUAAAUUUUAAGUAAAAAGUUCGCAAGUAAAAACACGUUGCACGAGUAAACAACACAGAUUUCAUUAUUAUAUAAAAACACAGACGACGUUUUCUACCAGAAAAAAUGAUUUAAUCGAAAAAUCACAAGAUACUAUUUUUUUUUGCCUUUUCGAUUUGCUUUCUUCGGGUAUCAUCAUCAAAACUUUUGAGCUUUUAAGGAAUUUUAAUAUUUGGUAGUUUUUUUGCUGUAAUUUGGUUAUAAACACACUUAGAGACUUGAAACUUGGUAAUAAUACUUAUAUUGGACUUACCUAACAAAGGUAGAAUUUCCAAAAUCAUCGGACGACUUUCUUUUUUUGAAUAAGCGUUUUAAAUUCAAAUUUAAAUUAAAAUUGCAAAGAAAAUUACGGCACUUCAAAUUAUAUAUUACCGAACUGCACUCGGAAUCGUCUUUCGUCAAUUAAUGGUUUAUCGUUGUUUAUAGAUAUAAAUGAAAUAACCUUAUGUAUCCUACUUUCGCAACUUUUCACCUACAACAGUGCCCGCUCCCAUUUUUCUUUUUUGAAAUAACGAUAUAAGCGUCAAAUAGCCGUAAAAACAUCAACAUAGCAAAAUAGCGUCAAAAUUUAAAAAUAUGUAACAAUUUUGUAUUUGACUUCCUGGUUAUCUGAAACGAAUUUGUAACUUACUUAGGUGUUACUAGGACUUGUUAAAACAAAUAUGCAUAUGCUACAAGUCACGAGCCCUGGUUACGAAUAUUUUAAAUCGACAGGUGUACGAGCACGUGGUCCGACUUUCCUUCCUCGAGUGCGUUACGAUAUUGAGAACUUCUUGCGAGUCUAUCCAGCAGACGCGCCUUAAAACCCAGAACUAUAAACAUAUUUUAUCGGCAGGUAUGAGGUAUUAUUGUUAUGACCUCGGACAUUUGUACACGUAUCUGACGGGUUUCUGAUUUUUUAACGCGAGAAAAUAUUAAUGUUGCCGUCGACUGAACACGACGACGACGUACAUCCGAGGUGUAGGUCGAAUUAUUCGACAAAUGUAUAUUUUCCCCCUUUUUUUUUUUCUGUUUUUCUAAUUAUCAAACACACGGGCAGUUUAGAAUGAUUUUCAUUCGAUCGGAUCGAAGUGCACGGUACUAGAGUAUUCGGCAUAUCAGAUUUGAAUUCAGCGCUCAGUGUACACGAAACGGGAUUUCGGAAUUGAUUUCUUGCGAAAACUAAAAAGGAACAUUUAAAAAUUAAAAUAAAAAUUAUAAAAAAAAAAAAAAAAUACCGAAAUUGAAAAAAGUGAUCCGCCCGAUCUCGCGUACAUAAUAUUAUAUUUGGCGGUCUGUUUUCCGAAUAUUAUUCGUAUCGGUUCGUUAUUUAAAAGCGCCCCGCUUUUAUAGCUUAAUACCCGAUAUUACGCUGCGUGGGCGUGUUAGACAAGAAAUAAUGAAAUAAAUAUUGGUAUUCCCAUUUCCUCAAAGAAAAACGAAUGAUUUCACGAUAGCAGUUUUUCGACUAUAUAUAUAUAUAUAUAUAUAUUAUGGUGGUUCAUUUAAUAUAAAACACUCGCUAUUUCUCAAAGUAUUGACUUUUUAACGGCAAUUUGAGAAAGCAGCUCUAAAACGAUAUAACACUAACACGGCGUUACUAACACCCAUGCUAAAUACGCCAUUUUUAGAGCUGUUUGUUCAUCACAAAUUGUUUCAAAAAAAAAAUCAAUACUUUGCAAAACACUCAGUGAAUUUUACGUUGAAUGAAUCAACCUGCAAAGAUUCUAUAAAAGGGAUUUUAAUUUAUGAAAAAAAAAAACCGAUCCUAUCGGACCGGAAAUUAUACAACCAUUUAGUUUUCAUUCCGUCGCGUGUGUAGGGAAAUACACUUACCCACCUUUACCUAUCCACAUUAACGUUCGGUAGUUGAAAAUGGUAUUCCUCCCUCCGAGCCGACUCGCGAGUGGUGGCCAAGUCUGACGCGAGGGUCAGUCCGGUUUUGUAGGGUAGGCUAAAGAUUUAUUACCGAAAAUACCAUUUCAACGUCCUAUUAAUAAAACGUCCCCGCGGCCCAGAAGAAGGAUUAUUAUUUAUUUAUUUUCGUUUUUAUCGCGUCACCACGAAAAAUGUUCGGUUUACGACGUACACCAAUAAUUAUUCGUGUAUAUACCGCUCGUUAAAUCGAAUGUUGAAACACUUUCGAUGUUUAUCACGCAUCUAUUUCGAAAGACGGUGGCUUCCGGUGUCUACCGCGGCCGAACCGGGUUUAAGGUGCACCCGGCUCAGGUGCCGAAUUUUGAGGUCUCGAAAAUAAGCCAUCUUUACGUACAAAAACAUUUAAUUAACUUUUUGUACGCUUGAUCGGUGACACGGCUGAUCCAGGCGACUCACCCCCACCCCUUGCGCCCUCAUCGUUCGCGCUUGUUCCCGGUUGAAUAUAUGCGUUCCGGAAUCCGUUUCGGCACCGGGUCGAUUAUGGUCGGCAGAUUCGAUAUCGAUUAUCAAUUUCAAAUUGUUUCGUCUUGGGGACUACGGUCGCUCGUAUCAAAAAACGUUCGGAUGUAACCCUCGAUUCGUUAUGUACGUCGGAUGGGUUACAGUCUUACAGGAGAAAUAGUACCGGCAGAAAAAAAAGAAACGGGAAAAAAUCGAUCGUCGGUAUUGAACCCGACAACAAUGGUUUUACGAGUGUCGCGUGUCAGUCCUCCACCGAAACACACUGACUAACGCUGCGACACCGUAUCCGUAUCUCCGUAUUAUGAGCUCGGGCACGAUUGAAACUGGCCAACCACCGGCACUCUAUAGGAACCGUUCUCCGUGGUUCCUAUACAUAGGGGGGAUUUAUCGACUCCGAUUACACAAUUAAUGUACGUACGCAGGUAGAACAAACAGGUCAGAAACUUUGAAUGCCGAAUUUCGCUGAACGGAUCGGAGAAGAAACCGACUUACUCACUGAUCCUCGCUGGAUGGCGGAUCGUCGAAAAUUCCACCCCUAAAACGGGUACAAUAACGGGUGAAAGUCGAAAUGUUAGGCGAAAGAGGGCGCUGAAUCGGACCAAAACGCGCAACGUGUGCACCCGCUAAACAGUACGGACGGGUGAAAACGGACCAAGUCCGCGGGUAACACGAAUAGUUGUUACGCGUGGUAUUUAUCCGACCGGAGAUCGCGUAUUAUCGCGUCGGUUCCGUGUCGCGGUCUGCGCGACGGAUGGAAGUUUAAUGAUCUCGGUAAACCGGAAAUCGGAAACGAAACUGCGUGUCUACGUUGUCCGGUGACGGUCUCGCGUUCGAAUAAUAGACAAUUAACAACAAUACAAUAAUACAAUAAUGUCAAUACGAUAAUCACGGGGUGAUCGAGUAACGGUUGUAAUCUUUUGCGCGGCUCGCGUUACGCCCGUCGGCGUAAAUAUCGGAUGGGCAAGGUGGGCGACCGACGAGGGCCUUAGCAACGGCCUAGACCAAGGCCCGAGGCAUUAUUGGACACAGGUGAUGGUAAUUUUGAAUUACUUUUUUCCGGGGCCUCCGUACAAUAUUUUGCGACGGGCAUUAGAAGUUCUAUAGCUGUACGCCACCGAUUGCGCCGUGUAAAAAACGAAUUCUCAAACGACAAUAUUGUCAGUGAACGAUCUGUACGUCUACUGUAGGUGAAAAAAAAUGUUUUAUUAAUAAUCAGAAUCGACGUGUCCAAACGUCCGGCGCAUCCGAUAAAUUGUUUACGGCCAAAACAAAGUUAUUUCGGCGGAAUCGGUUCCGCGCCCGUUCCUACGCGCUGAACCGGACGCCCGGAAUGCCUGUACGGCUCCCGGUUCGGACGUGUUUUACGGUCCCCGUGCGGUGUUUUGCGGUUGUACGAUUUUUACUGCCUAUAAUUAUUGUUAUGAUUGUUAUUAGCAUUAUCGUACCUUAUGCGCACUACUGACAUAAUAUAUGACGUUGCGUGCGAUGCGAAACCGUGUGAUUUUGAUGUUUUUUUUUUUUUUGCAGCAGCAGCAGCAGCUGUUCCGGUGUUAACGGUCCCUACAACAGUCGCGGCCAGCCUCUAUACCACCCUAACGUGCGUCGAGCCGCAGG